rnacentral:rRNA from 1 species
AACCGGAGGAAGGUGGGGACGACGUCAAGUCAUCAUGGCCCUUACGGGUAGGGCUACACACGUGCUACAAUGGUCGGUACAAAGGGUUGCGAUACCGCGAGGUGGAGCUAAUCCCAUAAAGCCGGUCUCAGUCCGGAUCGGAGUCUGCAACUCGACUCCGUGAAGUCGGAAUCGCUAGUAAUCGUGAAUCAGAAUGUCACGGUGAAUACGUUCCCGGGCCUUGUACACACCGCCCGUCACACCAUGGGAGUGGACUGCACCAGAAGUGGUUAGCUUAACCUUCCGGGGGAGCGAUCACCACGGUGUGGUUCAUGACUGGGGUGAAG